ACCUGUCAUCACACGCUAUUUAUACAUCUGAAGAGACCCGAAUGUUUUUCGCAUAACCAUCGAACCGUCAAAAGCUAUUGGAUGUUGAGGGAAUACACGGAUCAUCUGCCACUGAAGCAGUUAUAUAAUUUCAGCUCGACAAUUGAAUGUUCAAAAUGAAUCGAGACGUAGAGAGAAAAGACCAGGCCACAGCGGAAGACGAUGACGAUGAUGACGAGGCCGAGAUCAUGGAGAUACGAGGCGUGGUGAUGAAGCCUGGGAUCGAGUGGAGUAUCGCCUGGGAACGUCACGUGGUCAGUGUGUAUACGGGAAUAGAGAUGUACCAAAACCUUAAGCUUCCCCAUGGCAACAAGAACCGCGAAAUUACCCGGAUGUUGGAAGAGAGCUUAACACAGAAUAAACGAGUGACUAUCGAUUAUAGAAUCGCCGAUAAGGAAAUACUUGAGGUGCGUUAUCGAUAAUGCACAAACUAAUCGUUGUCCAAUUAGAUUCGUUCUUUUAACAGCACUGUUAGCAAACUUAAUACAUCGUAUUCUUAGACAAGGAAAGGCAUUAUAAACUUCCUUUACUCUUAUUUUGAGAUAGCGUCGAAUUUUUAGUGCUUUAAUAAUAUUUAGUAAAAUUUUUGUUUUGAGAAAAGUGACCAAAGAAAUAGAAAAUUAAGAGUUUUAUUUAGUAAAAAAUAGAAAGAAAUCCUAAAAAGGCCUUGGAAAUUCAAGGACUGCCAAAAUUUUAUCAAAUAUGUUAUCUAGCUGACCAAAUUUAUGUUGUUUAUUUGUUAUUAAUUUAAUUUUUAAAAACAUUUACUUGGAAGAAUUUGGCUUUACAUCUGCAUUAGAAGUUUUAAUAAAGCAUUGCAACAUGCCAGAAAAA